AUUUGAAUACACACACACACACACUCACACACUAAAAAAAAUUUAAAUGCCAAAAAACUUUGCAUUUAUUUCUCACAUAAAAUACAUUGAAAUGAAACAUAAACAAUUAUUCUUUUAAAUGUUCAAUGAAGGGCUACCAACAUUUUUUAAAGGCCAAUUGGAUUUUAGAUUUCAUUUCUUCCAAGUCAUUUAUACCCUCCAUUUAUACAUAGACAUAAAAUUGUUUUGCCCCUUUUCCAUAGCCUAAGGUACUUUGAAUCUGAAAUUUUUCUAAAGAGGAGGAAAGAGUAUGCUGAAUUUUUACAUAUCGAGCACAAAAGGGUAUUCAAACUUCAAGCAUUAAGGUAGGGGUGUUCUUGGCACUUAUGUAAGUGGUUUAAGAAUUAUUUGUUUUCGUUUUCCAUCAAACUUAUUAUUGUGUCACUCAUGAAGGAGGCACUGUUUGGUGGCUCAAAUCAGAAAAAGAGAGGUUUCAUGUGACACUAUUAUUGUGUUACUCAUGAAGGAAGCAUCCUUUGGUGGUUCAAAAUAAGAGAAAGAAAUUGACGGUGACACGAAUAAUCAAAGUUUGCAUUUCUGAAAACAUAUAUGUAUUUUAUCAUUUACUCUAGUGUCUUCCUACAGAGUAUUAUUCGUAGUACUCACACCCACAAUAAUCUCAGAGGUUGAUUUGAGGCAUGGCGGCAAUUUGGCAUAGUGGCAAGUGCUCAGCAAUCUGAAAAGCUUUCAACAUUCUAGUAAAAUUUCCAAUUUAUGUCAAUGUAUUAUGAAUAAUUAGACGGUACUUUUAAAGAUGUUUAAACAUCUGUUUCGUUCCGUUUUGUAUGCUAUUCAUGUCAACCAUAAUUUGGAAACGUUGGUAUGUCUUUGACCGAAGUUUAUUCAC
rnacentral:lncRNA from 1 species